rnacentral:rRNA from 1 species
AUUGAACGCUGGCGGCAUGCCUUACUCAUGCAAGUCGAACGGUAACGGGCCUUCGGGUGCCGACGAGUGGCGAACGGGUGAGUAAUACAUCGGAACGUGCCCGAUCGUGGGGGAUAACGAGGCGAAAGCUUUGCUAAUACAGCAUACGAUCUACGGAUGCAAGCAGGGGACCGCAAGGCCUUGUGCGGCCGGAGCGGCCGAUGGCAGAUUAGGUAGUUGGUGGGAUAAAAGCUUACCAAGCCGACGAUCUGUAGCUGGUCUGAGAGGAUGAUCAGCCACACUGGGACUGAGACACGGCCCAGACUCCUACGGGAGGCAGCAGUGGGGAAUUUUGGACAAUGGGCGCAAGCCUGAUCCAGCCAUGCCGCGUGCAGGAUGAAGGCCUUCGGGUUGUAAACUGCUUUUGUACGGAACGAAAAGCCUUCUUUUAAUACAGGAGGGUCAUGACGGUACCGUAAGAAUAAGCACCGGCUAACUACGUG